CUUUUAUGGAGAGUUUGAUCCUGGCUCAGGACGAACGCUGGCGGCGUGCCUAAUACAUGCAAGUCGAGCGGAGUUUAUCCUUCGGGAUAAGCUUAGCGGCGGACGGGUGAGUAACACGUAGGCAACCUGCCCCAUGAACUGGGAUAACUACCGGAAACGGUAGCUAAUACCGGAUAAUUCCUCUUUUCGCCUGAAGAGAGGAUGAAAGACGGAG
rnacentral:rRNA from 1 species